CCUCAAUAGGACACAAGAACGAAAAAAAAACCCUAAAUUGAAAAAACUCUCAGCUCACUCUCACCACCAAACUCAGAUACAAACCCUCGCUCUCUAUCACUCUCAACACCAUUCGUUACCGCCGCCUCUCAUCGACGCCACCGCGACCUCCGAGAGCCGAUUGCCACCACCGCCACGUCAAACCUCUCUGUCAGCCAUCAUAGGUCAAAGGGAAUUGUGAAAAGGUGAAAUUUCGUACUUUCAUAUUUUUUUGCGUGAUGUAAAUUUUUUCUUUCUUUCUUUCUCUUUUUAGUUGAUUAUUAUUGAUUUUAUAUUCUUUUCUUGAAGGAGUAGAGAACAGACUCAUGCAAUCUCGAGCGCUGUGAGAUGUGCUCUAAGCGAAGUUUAAUUAAAUUAGUUUUUAAUUCGUGCCCUCUAAUCUUCUCUGGGUUUUUGAUUAUUAUUUGGGUAAAAAUCAUACCUUUGAUCGAUUAUUUGGUGGGUAAUUACUUAAUCUAGCUAUCCGAAGCUAGUAGCCACUAUACUUUCUGUAUGUAUAAGACUGAGUCAUGUAGCUCCUAAUCGAAUAGUGCUUCUAGACGAAGAGCGGAAGAGAUAACAAAAGAGACUAACCGAUGUUAGAGUUUAGAUAAAAAGGAAUUCUAUGUAGUUCAAUGAUGGUUCUUUAAAUAGUUUUUUUUAUUAUUUUUUUUCAAUUUAUAGUUUUUGACUUUUUGUUUUGAUUUUGGCCUCUUCAAUAUCUUGUUAGUUUGAUUUUAGAUCCUCAAAUACGUGGUUGAUUCAAUUUGGCUUUAAAAAAUGGGGUGUCAGGUUUUAUUAGUCACACUGGAGGAAUAAAAUUGAUUUUUUUUUUUAAUUAAAAAACUUUAAACUAAAUUUUAAAGAAACUCAAGUAUUUUGGUAAAACUAUUUUGAUUCUAUUUCUUUUCUGCAAUUCAUUUUGUGGAAUUUUCUGAUAUUUAUUUAUGUUUUGCAAUUAUAACAGGCCAUUAAUAAAAGUUUAUCAUCCCCAAGUGAUGUUAUAUUUGCAUUGGCAAAGGAGGAGGACCACAUUGUGGAUCCAUUACAUUGGUGCUAGAUGAAAUAGGUGUUGAUGUUGCCUCACAGUUGUCAACAGCUCCCAAAGGAAGGAUUGCCUUGAAAAGAGUUGAUGCUGUCGGCAGGUUAAGAAUUUAAUAGCUUGACUUGGUUAUUGUGAAUUGGCUACUGCAAAUCUUUCUAGUCAACUGGUUCCACAACUUGGUCAGCUUUUAAAUCUGCAAUACUUGUAAGUCAUCUUGACAUGCAGGGCAAGUUGUUUGACUGUAAUUUUUUAUUUUUUUAUUUUUAUUUUUUGUGUUGCAUGAGUUAGUGCCAGGAUAUGUCCACAUAAGAAAUAGACUUAAGAAAUUCUUAGGCUGCUUGUUAAACCCCCACCUCCUUGAUUAAUUAUAGUUGGGUCCUUUUCUCAUUUGAAGUUCAUCUCUGCAUUUAAUGCUGGCAUGGCUGGUAUUAUAGUUCUAAAGGGUAAUUAUGCCAAAGAAGCAUUUAUUCAACAGUUGGUAAUGAUUUCAUAUAUGCAAUUUGUUUUGUUGGUUCAGUAUUGUUGCAUCUGAGUGUUGGCAGGAAUGUGUAUGUGGAAUUACAGGUUUUGUUUUGGGCAGUAAUGU